rnacentral:rRNA from 1 species
UGAGGAAUAUUGGGCAAUGCCCGAAAGGGUGACCCAGCAACGCCGCGUGGAGGAUGAAGGUCGUAAGAUUGUAAACUCCUGUUAGAGGGGAAGAAUAACUAAGUUUGGAGCUUAGUAUGACUGUACCCUCAGAGAAAGCCCCGGCUAACUACGUGCCAGCAGCCGCGGUAAUACGUAGGGGGCAAGCGUUGUCCGGAUUUACUGGGUGUAAAGGGCGCGCAGGCGGGAUAAAAAGUCAGUGGUGAAAUCCUACAGCUUAACUGUGGAACUGCCUUUGAUACUUUUAUUCUUGAGUUCGGGAGAGAGAGACGGAAUUCCAGGUGUAGUGGUGAAAUACGUAGAUAUCUGGAAGAACACCAGUUGCGAAGGCGGUCUCUUGGUCCGACACUGACGCUGAGGCGCGAAAGCGUGGGGAGCAAACA